rnacentral:rRNA from 1 species
GAAAGUAAGUAAGGGCGUAUGGGGGAUGCCUAGGCUCUUGGAGGCUAAGAAGGACGUGGUAAGCUGCGAAAAGCUGCGGGGAUUUGCAAACGAGACUCGAUCCGCAGAUAUCCGAAUGGGACAACCCGGCAGGUAGAAGACCUGUCACACCGCGAGGUGAGCUAACCCUCUGAACUGAAACAUCUAAGUAGGAGGAGGAAAAGAAAGAAACAUCGAUUUCCAAAGUAGCGGCGAGCGAAAUGGAAGAAGCCCAAACCGAUAUUGUUACGGCAAUAUCGGGGUUGUAGGACUGCAAUAUUCAAUUAACAAUGAACUGGAAUGGUCUGGAAAGUCCAUCCAUAGAGAGUGAAAGGCUCGUACAGGUAAGUUUGUUAUGCGAAAGCAGUAUCCUGAGUAUGGCGGGACACGAGGAAUCCUGUCAGAAUCAGCCGGGACCACCCGGUAAGGCUAAAUACUCCCAAGAGACCGAUAGUGGACCAGUACUGUGAAGGAAAGGUGAAAAGAACCCCGAACAGGGGAGUGAAAUAGAACCUGAAACCAUACGCUUACAACCGGUCGGAGCAGCUUCGUGCUGUGACGGCGUGCCUAUUGAAUAAUGAGCCUACGAGUUACUAAUCACUAGCGAGGUUAAGUGCAAGGAUGCACGGAGCCGAAGCGAAAGCGAGUCUGAACAGGGCGUUUAGUUAGUGGUUGUAGACGCGAAACCUUGCGAUCUACCCUUGAGCAGGUUGAAGGUUGGGUAAAACCAACUGGAGGACCGAACGAAUAAGCGUUGAAAAGCUUCUCGAUGACUUGAGGGUAGGGGUGAAAGGCUAAUCAAGCUGGGAAAUAGCUCGUACUCCCCGAAAUGCCUUUAGGGGCAGCGUUGUAAUUAAGAGUCUACUGGAGGUAGAGCUACUGAUUGGAUGCGGGGGCUUCACCGCCUACCAAAUCCUGACAAACUCCGAAUGCCAGUAGUAUGAUUUACAGCAGUGAGUGACUGGGUGCUAAUGUCCAGUCGCAAAAGAGGAACAACUCAGACCAGCAACUAAGGUCCCGAAGAAUAUGCUAAGUUGAUCUAACGAUGUUUUGUUGCAGAGACAGCUAGGAUGUUAGCUUGGAAGCAGCUAUUCAUUCAAAGAGUGCGUAACAGCUCACUAGUCGAGCGACAGAGCGUGGAUAAUAAACGGGCAUCAAGCAUAUCACCGAAGUUCUGGGCGCGAGAGCGCGGUAGGGGAGCAUUCCAUUCAGCGUCGAAGCAGUUUCGUGAGGAAUUGUGGAGCGUAUGGAAAAGCAAAUGUAGGCAUGAGUAACGAUAAUGCGGGAGAGUAACCCGCACACCGCAAGACCAAGGUUUCCUGAUCAACGCUAAUCGGAUCAGGGUUAGUCGGGUCCUAAGGGUAAGCCGAACGGCGAUCUCGAUGGAUAAUCGGUUAAUAUUCCGAUACUAACAUAUACCUCGAUGGAGAGACGAAGGAACGUAAGUGCCGCCACCUGACGGAAUAGGUGGUUAAAGGGCGUAGGUAUAGGGGCAGAUUAAGAGUUAGUCCUUGCUGAAACCUGACAGUACAGAGAGCCUACGGGCAAUUUGAUAGAGCACCCAAGUCGACUUCCGAGAAAAUCUUCUAAGUUAUAGUAUAUGUUACCCGUACCGUAAACCGACACAGGUGGUCGAGGAGAGUAUCCUAAGGUGCUCGAGUGAAUCACGGUUAAGGAACUAGGCAAAUUAACCCCGUAACUUCGGGAAAAGGGGUCCCUACGCGAGUAGGGCGCAGCGAAGAGGUCCAGGCGACUGUUUAUCAAAAACACAGGGCUCUGCAAAUUCGAAAGAAGACGUAUAGGGCCUGACACCUGCCCGGUGCUGGAAGGUUAAGAGGGGAUGUCAUCGCAAGAGAAGCAUUGAAUCGAAGCCCCAGUAAACGGCGGCCGUAACUAUAACGGUCCUAAGGUAGCGAAAUUCCUUGUC